CUACGGGCUGCUGCAGUGGGGAAUCUUAGACAAUGGGCGCAAGCCUGAUCUAGCCAUGCCGCGUGAGUGAUGAAGGCCUUAGGGUCGUAAAGCUCUUUCGCUGGGGAAGAUAAUGACGGUACCCAGUAAAGAAACCCCGGCUAACUCCGUGCCAGCAGCCGCGGUAAUACGGAGGGGGUUGGCGUUGUUCGGAAUUACUGGGCGUAAAGCGCGCGUAGGCGGACUGUUAAGUCGGGGGUGAAAUCCCGGGGCUCAACCCCGGAACGGCCUUCGAUACUGGCAGUCUGGAGUUCGAGAGAGGUGAGUGGAAUUCCGAGUGUAGAGGUGAAAUUCGUAGAUAUUCGGAGGAACACCAGUGGCGAAGGCGGCUCACUGGCUCGAUACUGACGCUGAGGUGCGAAAGUGUGGGGAGCAAACAGGAUUAGAUACCCGGGUAGUC
rnacentral:rRNA from 1 species